GUUGCCGUUUCCGAUUGGUUAAGGCGAUAGACUUGAAAUCUUUUAGAAUCUUCUCGCGCAGGUUCGAAUCCUGCCGACAACG
rnacentral:tRNA from 1 species